UACGACCGCAAGGUUGAAACUCAAAGGAAUUGACGGGGGCCCGCACAAGCGGUGGAGCAUGUGGUUUAAUUCGAAGCUACGCGAAGAACCUUACCAGGUCUUGACAUCUUGCGCUAACCUUAGAGAUAAGGCGUUCCCUUCGGGGACGCAAUGACAGGUGGUGCAUGGUCGUCGUCAGCUCGUGUCGUGAGAUGUUGGGUUAAGUCCCGCAACGAGCGCAACCCUUGUUACUAGUUGCCAGCAUUAAGUUGGGCACUCUAGUGAGACUGCCGGUGACAAACCGGAGGAAGGUGGGGACGACGUCAGAUCAUCAUGCCCCUUAUGACCUGGGCUACACACGUGCUACAAUGGA
rnacentral:rRNA from 2 species